CAGUACUUCCAUUAAUUUUAUUUAAUCUACUAUAUCAAUGUAAAUUAUAAUUUUCUAAUAUAUAUUUUCUGUGAAAUUUUGCAGGAAAAGUAGCAUCAUUCAACCAAAUUUCUCCAACACAUCCUCCAUUGGCUAGAAGUCUUGUACAACUCAAAAAUCUUACGAUAUCCAGGUGUCAAAUCAUGGAAGAGAUAGUACCAACAAACGAAUCCAAUGAGGAAGAUACAGAUCAUAACAUGUUUAGUCAGCUAUAAGAUCUAAAGCUACAAUUUCUUCCGAACCUCAGCAGAUUCUGCUCAGCACGUCGUUCUAUUAAUUUUCAUUCCUUGGAGAUAUUGCAUCUAAAGGAUUGUUCUAAAUUGGAGACAUUCAUCUUUGAUCCCAUGAGUACAAAUAGCACAAUCAACAAAGCAACUGAAGAGAUCAGGGACUCCAUGGAGAAUAUUGGGACUGAUGCACAAUACUUUCUUUUUGACGAAAAGGAUUUCCUAGCUUGGAGAGGUUGAUCAUCCGUGACCUACCUGUAUUGAGGACUAUAUGGCACAACAGACUUGCCCCAAACUCCUUUUGCAAGCUCAAGAAAGUUGAAAUUUGGAGAUGCGACACUUUAAUUAAUAUCUUUGCGCCAAGUAUGAUGGGAAGAUUGAAUGCUUUAGAAACCUUAAGAAUACAAGAAUGCAAGUCACUACAAGUGGUAUUUGAACAAACAUAUGACACAUCAACUACUCAGUUGAAAACUUUUGAGUGUCCAAAUCUUGAUUCUAUAAAAAUUUAUUGGUGUGAGAGUUUGAAAAAUAUCUUUUCAGCCUCAGUGGCCAAGGGUCUUCAGCAGCUGAACGAGAUGUAUGUGGAGAUUUGUGGAAUAUUGGAAGAAAUUGUUGCCAAGGAAGAAGUAGAAACUACACCUGAGUUUGUGUUCGCUAAAGUAACACUUGUGCAAUUUAAAAAUCUGCCCCAACUGAGAAGUUUCUAUCCGGGGUUGCAUGUUUCCAAGUGGCUAUUACUCAAAACAUUGAGAUUCUUUCCAGGAAAGAUUUGAUUCGGGCCUUAUCUGUACACCAAUCAAACAACCUUUUUUGUUAGUUGACAAGGGUAAUCCAUUCCCCAACUUGGAAAGGUUAUAUUUGGACGAGAACACGAAGAUUCGGUAUGAAGCGCAUG